CCUACGGGGGGCAGCAGUGAGGAAUAUUGGUCAAUGGACGCAAGUCUGAACCAGCCAUGCCGCGUGCAGGAAGACGGCUCUAUGAGUUGUCAACUGCUUUUGUACGAGGGUAAACGCAGAUACGCGUAUCUGUCUGAAAGUAUCGUACGAAUAAGGAUCGGCUAACUCCGUGCCAGCAGCCGCGGUAAUACGGAGGAUUCAAGCGUUAUCCGGAUUUAUUGGGUUUAAAGGGUGCGUAGGCGGUCGGAUAAGUUAGAGGUGAAAUCCCGAGGCUCAACUUCGGAAUUGCCUCUGAUACUGGUCGGCUAGAGAGUAGUUGCGGUAGGCGGAAUGUAUGGUGUAGCGGUGAAAUGCUUAGAGAUCAUACAGAACACCGAUUGCGAAGGCAGCUUACCAAGCUACUUCUGACGUUGAGGCACGAAAGCGUGGGGAGCGAACAGGAUUAGAUACCCUAGUAGUC
rnacentral:rRNA from 1 species